rnacentral:rRNA from 1 species
AGUGAACGCUGGCGGUAGGCCUAACACAUGCAAGUCGAACGGCAGCACAGUAAGAGCUUGCUCUUACGGGUGGCGAGUGGCGGACGGGUGAGGAAUACAUCGGAAUCUACUUUUUCGUGGGGGAUAACGUAGGGAAACUUACGCUAAUACCGCAUACGACCUACGGGUGAAAGCAGGGGAUCUUCGGACCUUGCGCGAUUGAAUGAGCCGAUGUCGGAUUAGCUAGUUGGCGGGGUAAAGACCCACCAAGGCGACGAUCCGUAGCUGGUCUGAGAGGAUGAUCAGCCACACUGGAACUGAGACACGGUCCAGACUCCUACGGAAGGCAGCAGUGGGGAAUAUUGGACAAUGGGCGCAAGCCUGAUCCAGCCAUACCGCGUGGGUGAAGAAGGCCUUCGGGUUUUAAAGCCCUUUUGUUGGGAAAGAAAAGCAGCAGGUUAAUACCCCGCUGUUCUGACGGUACCCAAAGAAUAAGCACCGGCUAACUUCGUG